rnacentral:rRNA from 2 species
UUAAUUUGAGAGUUUGAUCCUGGCUCAGGACGAACGCUGGCGGCGUGCCUAAUACAUGCAAGUCGAACGAACUCUGGUAUUGAUUGGUGCUUGCAUCAUGAUUUACAUUUGAGUGAGUGGCGAACUGGUGAGUAACACGUGGGAAACCUGCCCAGAAGCGGGGGAUAACACCUGGAAACAGAUGCUAAUACCGCAUAACAACUUGGACCGCAUGGUCCGAGCUUGAAAGAUGGCUUCGGCUAUCACUUUUGGAUGGUCCCGCGGCGUAUUAGCUAGAUGGUGGGGUAACGGCUCACCAUGGCAAUGAUACGUAGCCGACCUGAGAGGGUAAUCGGCCACAUUGGGACUGAGACACGGCCCAAACUCCUACGGGAGGCAGCAGUAGGGAAUCUUCCACAAUGGACGAAAGUCUGAUGGAGCAACGCCGCGUGAGUGAAGAAGGGUUUCGGCUCGUAAAACUCUGUUGUUAAAGAAGAACAUAUCUGAGAGUAACUGUUCAGGUAUUGACGGUAUUUAACCAGAAAGCCACGGCUAACUACGUGCCAGCAGCCGCGGUAAUACGUAGGUGGCAAGCGUUGUCCGGAUUUAUUGGGCGUAAAGCGAGCGCAGGCGGUUUUUUAAGUCUGAUGUGAAAGCCUUCGGCUCAACCGAAGAAGUGCAUCGGAAACUGGGAAACUUGAGUGCAGAAGAGGACAGUGGAACUCCAUGUGUAGCGGUGAAAUGCGUAGAUAUAUGGAAGAACACCAGUGGCGAAGGCGGCUGUCUGGUCUGUAACUGACGCUGAGGCUCGAAAGUAUGGGUAGCAAACAGGAUUAGAUACCCUGGUAGUCCAUACCGUAAACGAUGAAUGCUAAGUGUUGGAGGGUUUCCGCCCUUCAGUGCUGCAGCUAACGCAUUAAGCAUUCCGCCUGGGGAGUACGGCCGCAAGGCUGAAACUCAAAGGAAUUGACGGGGGCCCGCACAAGCGGUGGAGCAUGUGGUUUAAUUCGAAGCUACGCGAAGAACCUUACCAGGUCUUGACAUACUAUGCAAAUCUAAGAGAUUAGACGUUCCCUUCGGGGACAUGGAUACAGGUGGUGCAUGGUUGUCGUCAGCUCGUGUCGUGAGAUGUUGGGUUAAGUCCCGCAACGAGCGCAACCCUUAUUAUCAGUUGCCAGCAUUAAGUUGGGCACUCUGGUGAGACUGCCGGUGACAAACCGGAGGAAGGUGGGGAUGACGUCAAAUCAUCAUGCCCCUUAUGACCUGGGCUACACACGUGCUACAAUGGAUGGUACAACGAGUUGCGAACUCGCGAGAGUAAGCUAAUCUCUUAAAGCCAUUCUCAGUUCGGAUUGUAGGCUGCAACUCGCCUACAUGAAGUCGGAAUCGCUAGUAAUCGCGGAUCAGCAUGCCGCGGUGAAUACGUUCCCGGGCCUUGUACACACCGCCCGUCACACCAUGAGAGUUUGUAACACCCAAAGUCGGUGGGGUAACCUUUUAGGAACCAGCCGCCUAAGGUGGGACAGAUGAUUAGGGUGAAGUCGUAACAAGGUAGCCGUAGGAGAACCUGCGGCUGGAUCACCUCCUUUCUAAGGAAUAUUACGGAA